UUUUUUUUUUUUUUUUUUUGCUUUUGAGGGCCGCACCUGCAGCAUAUGGAGGCUCCCAGGCUAGGGGUCACAUCGGAGCUACAGCUGCCAGCCUGCACCACAGCCACAGCCACGCGGGACCCAGGCCACGUCCGCGAUCUACACCACGGCUCAGGGCAACGCCCAAUCCUUAACCCACUGAGUAAGGCCAGGGAUCGAACCCGCAUCCUCUUGGACAUUAGUCAGGUUCAUGACUGCUGAGCCACAACGGGAACUCCCCCCACCCCAAUUUCAGCUUUACAGGGUGCAUAUAGGUCCCCAGAGCACCUGCUUCCUGGCGCUGUCCCCAGACUUCCUGGCACUACUGGUUCUUUUGAGACUCCCUGUGGGUCCUCCAGCCUAGCUGAGAAAGUGAUGGGAAGCUGGGGGGGCAGGACAGAGGGGAGAGCAGGGGAGGGCGCUGGGAGGCCCCCUCCUCUGGGGUCCCGGGAUCCCCCACCCCCUUUAUCCGCUUUAACACUAAUAGCAGUCAGACUGUCACGAAUACAAAGUCAGGAAGGAACCUGGCCAUCGGAUGCUCCUGCUCAUUUAUGAAAAUCACUUCAAUUUAACCCAGAUGGGCCUCCUGGUUGAUAAGCUCACACAACCAGCUCCCUGAAUUAUACUUUCCGUGUGAACACACUGGCUUAUAUUUAGCCACAAAUUAUGACUCUGUGUUUAACAAGCACCUUUCCUGAGCGGAGGGGGCUGGGCAGCCUCCUGACCUGGUUGCACACACCAGCAACAGAAUUAGCCCCCCCCACCCCCGCCCCAGCAAAGCUGUUCAUCUGACUUCAAAGUCUGGCUCCCCUGCUGCUCUUGUUGCCUUUUAAAACUUCCAGCCACAUCCCCAAGUCUGUCUUGGAGUCUGUCUGUGGCCUGCAGAGACCAGCUGGGCCUCCCUGACAUUCCGGGGGCUCCAGCUGAGCAGGGCUCAGGCCUGAGCUGGGAUCCUGAGAAAGGCACUCAGCCGAGCGCACGGAGCCUGGGAGAUGCUGGAGGCAGUCUUCCUGCCAGGUGACAGGAGAACCCUCCCGCCCGGCCCGGCUCCUGACAGCGCUUCAUCUUCUGUCUGCUGCCUCCUGACCCUGGGCCUCAGAGUGGCCCCCUCUCCUGCCACCUGGCCCUCUGGGCCCCGCCGGGCCUGCUAGAUAAUGAAGGGGCUGUGACUGGAAGCUUUGUUUCCGGUGGGGGCAGCUCCCUUCCCCGAUGAGGGGUCUGGGAGAUCUCUGCCUUCCUCUCCCCUCCAAAAUAGGCCUGCCCCGACCAAGCUGAAGCCCCAAAGACAGAAGGCAGGGCAAGGAGAAGGCCACCCCCGCCUAGGCACCCGUGUCCCAGGCAGCACCUUGGGAGGGAUGCUUGGGGGUGGGGCGGGGGCUCCUCCGCCCACUCCCAGCCAAGCUGAGGCUGGUGGGGAGGGAAGCCAGGGGUGCAGGCUGCUCUGAUGGGUGCCCAGGGAGUGGGAGCAAGGGCAGGGCUGGUGCACACUGACCCCCCCCCCAAUCCACCUCCCACACCUGCCACACCUGGUGGCAGAAGACCUCCUUCUGGGGCUGGGGCGGGCGCCUCGCCUGCUUCCCAGAGGCUCAGCUCCCCAGCCAGGGCACCGAUUCUCUUCCACCCCCGUUACCUGAGAGGAGGCUGCAAACCCCUAAACCCUCCACCGUCCUGGGGAACCCAGUGGGCUGUGCAGCCAGCCAGAUGGUGGGGGGAGGUGGGCUGGUAACUCGGCCCCUCAGCUGGGGGUGCCCGGCCCCAGCCCGGCCUCUCCCCUAUGGCACGCGGGGCAAGUGCAGACCCGGGGUCCCAGCGCCCCCUCCAGACCGGCCUGCCUGCGGCUGGCCCAGCCUCCCACCCCCGUGCCUCUGGUGGGAAAAAUGAGGAGUCAAUUUUUGUCAAGAAAUUGUUUCUAAUUUGCCCUUUGACUAAUGGCCCAGGGAACAAUGGAGAGACACGGACACACAAUUGCCCAGGCGGCGCAGCUCUGCUGCUCUCUGGCCCGAGCAGGCGUUUAUCUGGAGCAGCAACUAAUUCACAAUUUUAUGUAACUCGCCCGAUGCCUCCACCCCCUUGCGUUAAAAAAAAAAUGAUUAUUUCAUGAUUUCAGACACAGCGGGCCGGUGGUCUUUGGGGAGUGAGGAGCCCUGGAUCCGCUGCUGCUGCUGCUCUCGGGGGGAGCAGAGGGGGCGCCAGCGCAGGAGGGGGCACCUGGUGGUGGCAGGGCCAGGGGCCACAGGGGCCCCCAGGCUGUGCGAGGGAAGAAGGCAGGUUCUCCCAAGCGCCGGUGCCAGCGAGCGCUGUGAAGGCGUGUGUGGGUGUGUGGCGCGCUGUGUGAUGCGCAGGAGUGUGUGCGUGUGCGGGGGGGGGGUGGCACACCAGUGAAACGGCACGUGAGUUGUGUGUGCGGGAGUGCCGUGUGGCUGUGUGCUGUGCAAGUGCGCGUGCCCAGGUGUCAGGCACAGCUGGCUACGUGGGGCCAGAGGCCAAGCGCAAGCGAGUACCUGCCAGGCCUGUGCUCCCGCCAGGCAGGAAGCGAGCUGGGGGUUCCAGGGCGCCCCUGGGUGGUGUUCCAGACUGGGGCAGGGCAUGCCCGCUGGCCAGGGUGUGUGGGCGUCGCCUGAUGGGGAGCCCACUCGUGAAACUGUGGGCGGCUGCAGAGACCUGGGCGCCCCAGCUCAACCCUGACCUCAUCUCUCCAGCCCUCUCCUUCCCGCCCUCUCCCACCCAGGGGAAGGCUGCUCUGCAGAUCCUACACCAUGUUCCUCUGAAAUUGGAAACAGUUGUUAGCUCUGGACAACAGGGAGGGUGAAAAAUGAAAGAGGGGAGGUUUCCUCCAAGCUGAGAGCUCGCCCAACCAGACGUGCCCCUGCCAGAGCCUCCGCGGGCCCCGUCUUCCGAGGGGGAACACGGGGAGCUUAUUUUGGUACUGUGGGAGCUGCCUGGCGGCCAAGCGCCUGUGCUGGGCAGCUGCCAGCCCCUGCCACAUCCAGCAGGCCCGUCUGCAGCUAUUUGCUGUAACAACUGUUUUGAAACAGUAUUG
rnacentral:lncRNA from 1 species